AUUGAACGCUGGCGGCAUGCCUUACACAUGCAAGUCGAACGGCAGCAUGAUCUAGCUUGCUAGAUUGAUGGCGAGUGGCGAACGGGUGAGUAAUACAUCGGAACGUGCCCUGUAGUGGGGGAUAACUAGUCGAAAGAUUAGCUAAUACCGCAUACGACCUGAGGGUGAAAGUGGGGGACCGCAAGGCCUCAUGCUAUAGGAGCGGCCGAUGUCUGAUUAGCUAGUUGGUGAGGUAAAGGCUCACCAAGGCGACGAUCAGUAGCUGGUCUGAGAGGACGAUCCGGCACACUGGGACUGAGAACACGCCCCGACUCCCUCGGGAGGCAGGAGUGGGGAAAUUUUGACAAUGGGCCGAAGCCUGAACCAAGAAUGCCGGCGGGUGGAAAAAGGCCCUCGGGUUUGAAAGCAACUUUGUCCGGAAAGAAAAGGGUCUGGUUAAUACCUGGGGUCGAUGACGGUACCGGAAGAAUAAGGACCGGCUAACUACGUG
rnacentral:rRNA from 1 species